rnacentral:rRNA from 1 species
UACCAGCACCCCGAGUGGUCGGGACGUUUAUUGGGCCUAAAGCAUCCGUAGCCGGUUCUACAAGUCUUCCGUUAAAUCCAACUGCUUAACAGGUGGGCUGCGGAAGAUACUAUAGAGCUAGGAGGCGGGAGAGGCAAGCGGUACUCGAUGGGUAGGGGUAAAAUCCGUUGAUCCAUUGAAGACCACCAGUUGCGAAGGCGGCUCUCUGGACCAGCACUGACACUGAGGCACGAAAGCGUGGGGAGCAAACAGG